rnacentral:rRNA from 1 species
UACGUAGGAGGCGAGCGUUUGUCCGGAAUUAUUGGGCGUAAAGAGCGUGUAGGCGGCCCGAUUAGUCCGCUGUGAAAGUCCAGGGCUCAACCCUGGAAUGCCGGUGGAUACUGUCGGGCUAGAGUCCGGAAGGGGCGAGUGGAAUUCCUGGUGUAGCGGUGAAAUGACGCAGAUAUCAGGAGGAACAGCCAAUGGCGAAGGCAGCUCGCUGGGACGUGACUGACGCUGAGACGCGAAAGCGUGGGGGAGCAAACAGG